UGAGCUGGGAAAGCUCUUCCUCCUCCGAUCCUCAUAAGGAUGUGAUGUCUGGAGCUACAGCAGCUGUCUGUUGGCGCUGGUGGUGAAUGAAUUGGGUCGUGAUGAAUUCAGUGUAAAUGAGCCUGAGAUUCAGUUCUCUUGCUUUAGCGUUGACUUGGGAGCAGAGUUGAAGUCGGAGCCCUGUCCUUCUGAAGAAAGGCUUCUGGAACCCCUGCUG
rnacentral:lncRNA from 1 species